UACGAAGGGGGCGAGCGUUGUUCGGAUUUACUGGGCGUAAAGGGCGCGCAGGCGGUUCUGUUUGUCGAGUGUGAAAGCCCCGGGCUCAACCUGGGAACGGCGCUCGAAACGGCGGGACUAGAGAUCGGGAGAGGAGCGUGGAAUUCCCAGUGUAGAGGUGAAAUUCGUAGAUAUUGGGAAGAACACCGGUGGCGAAGGCGGCGCUCUGGACCGAGACUGACGCUGAGGCGCGAAAGCGUGGGGAGCGAACGGG
rnacentral:rRNA from 1 species